UACGAAGGGGGCUAGCGUUGUUCGGAAUCAUUGGGCGUAAAGCGCACGUAGGCGGCCUGUUAAGUCGGAUGUGAAAGCCCCGGGCUCAACCCGGGAAGUGCAUUCGAAACUGGCGGGCUUGAAUAUGGAAGAGGGUCGCGGAAUUCCCGGUGUAGAGGUGAAAUUCGUAGAUAUCGGGAGGAACACCAGUGGCGAAGGCGGCGACCUGGGCCAAUAUUGACGCUGAGGUGCGAAAGCGUGGGGAGCAAACAGG
rnacentral:rRNA from 1 species